ACUUGGGCUGGGCAUCAUGAUGAUGUACACAAACUUCUCACGUAUACAGGAAGUACUGACAAAGAAGAAAAUGGAUAAUUGGCUGUAUAUUGAUGUAGAAAGUGAGACGAAGUAUCCCUCCACGUUAUGUAUUGAAUUCUACUUUCAUCAAUAUUGCAGUGAACUGAUUCACUCACCAAAAUAAAUUUCAUCCGUGUAAAGAACGUCUUGUUGUAUUAAAAAGUUAUGGCUUUACCACGGCCCAGGGUGGUCUCAUGUUAUUGAGAAUUCUUAGCAAAGUCUUUGUUAUAACAUUUGUUGUCUGUAUUUGGGAUACAUCGCAAUCAUAUAAGUUUGCCAUGUGAGUGAUGUCAAGUGAAAAAAUGAGCCCGCAGCCCCAAACAUCCAAAAGAAAAGGACAGAAUAAAUGACAGCUUCUGAUGGUUUGACCUCGAACAAUCUACCCAAUCCAACAAUCAUGAAUUGGGACAAAGAUGCAGUGAAAUCAGCUAUAGAUAAGCUUAAGAUAGUAAUCCACGGUCGUCGUCUUAGUUUGUUUAAAGGAUCCUUCACAAUAACAACAAUAAGAAGACCAUUUGUUAGGACACCAACUGUGGAGAUCACCAUUGUUGUUAUCAAUAUUUCUUGAGGAAGUGAGAAACUUUUCUUUGGUUUCAUAUUAAAUACAUAAAUAUAUGUUUAUUA